AAGUCGUAACAAGGUUUCCGUAGGUGAACCUGCGGAAGGAUCAUUAUUGAAAUUAAAACUCGAGCAGGGGGGAAGUGGUUGUAGCUGGCCCUUAGGGGCAUGUGCACACUGUCUCUCUCUCUCUUGCUUGUUUUUUUUCAUUCUCUCCACUUGUGCACUGCUUGUAGGCAGCCUGGCGCUGUUCAGGCUGUUUAUGAUUUUCUUUACAUACAUGAAUAAUAAUUGUUGUGCAGAAUGUGAUAAUAAUAAAAACAAGUAAUACAACUUUCAACAACGGAUCUCUUGGCUCUC
rnacentral:misc_RNA from 1 species